UGGGGAAUAUUGCACAAUGGGCGCAAGCCUGAUGCAGCCAUGCCGCGUGUAUGAAGAAGGCCUUCGGGUUGUAAAGUACUUUCAGCGGGGAGGAAGGCGAUAAGGUUAAUAACCUUGUCGAUUGACGUUACCCGCAGAAGAAGCACCGGCUAACUCCGUGCCAGCAGCCGCGGUAAUACGGAGGGUGCAAGCGUUAAUCGGAAUUACUGGGCGUAAAGCGCACGCAGGCGGUCUGUCAAGUCGGAUGUGAAAUCCCCGGGCUCAACCCGGGAACUGCAUUCGAAACUGGCAGGCUAGGGUCUUGUAGGGGGGGGUAGAAUGCCAGGUGUAGCGGUGAAAUGCGUAGAGAUCUGGAGGAAUACCGGUGGCGAAGGCGGCCCCCUGGACAAAGACUGACGCUCAGGUGCGAAAGCGUGGGGAGCAAACA
rnacentral:rRNA from 1 species